rnacentral:ncRNA from 2 species
AUAUCUGUCUCAGCGCUAGCUCUUGCACUCAGGCAAGAAGACGAGGAAGAGGUCGUCGAACAGUCAGCGGAUGCCUCUCGGCAAGAUCUGCCGAUACGAACUGUAAAAGCCCUUCGGUAACGGAGGGGACAAAGCAGACUCGAGAUCAACAG